AAGUAGCGGUUUCAGAAAACGUUUGACUGUUAAUCAAAAAGAGCACAAUAGUGCCUACUUAG
rnacentral:tRNA from 1 species